UCGAGCGAGGCCUCCUGCCCUCGAGCGAGUCGCACAGCAGAUCAUGCGCCACCGCCUUCCAUCCUUCGCCACCGCCGAUCCAUCCCUUCGUCGCCGCCCCUCCAUCCCUUCGCCGCCGCCCUCGCACCUUUCCUCCCAAAAAUCUCUCAGGUCGGCUCGCCCACGCGACCGCCAGGACGAUGACGCUGCCGACGCCGACGCCCGCCAGCGACGGCAAGUUGGAUCUGGACGGCGUGCUCGUAGCGCCUCUCACCAUCUGCGUGAUCGGGGUCGGCGGAUUCAUCUACUCCCACCUUUGCAAGCACCUCAUGGUCGAGAUCCCGGACUCCGUCCUCGCCGUCGACGUCUACUGCUACAAGAUCCGCCGCCUCGUCGACCCUCCCCCGCCCACCUCGCCUGCUGCAGCAACUUCCACCGCGUCAAUGUCAAGAACGACUCCGGCAUGGAGGGCCUCUUCAAGAUGGUCGAUCUGGAAAAACUACCGGAUGAGCUUAUAGCGCGAGAAGUUGUUAUAAAUGAUGUUGAUCCAUCUGUACGGCAUAAGCUCAUGAAACGGCAAACACAGGAUGAGCCAGCAUAUGAAAAAAUGUACUAAAAACAUUUGAGGCAGUGGAUCCCAACAGCAGAACAGCAACUAUGCUCGAGAUUGCAGGGAGGUUGUCCAAGCUAGAAAAGAAAGGAUGGAGGCCAAGGCGAACAAUCAUCGUCUGCAGUUGGGAUGCAGAAGAGUUUGCGCUGGGUCUAUGGAAUGACCGAAGAGGACAUGGAUAUGCUUUCUUCAAGAACUGUUGCUUGUCCGAACGUAGAUAUGUCAAUGUUUGGGCCUGGAAGUCUGAUGCUCUGUGGUGCAACCCCACAACUCGAUGAACGAAUCAAGGAAGCAAGCAGAAUGGUACCCGAUCCUGAUGGUCCGUCUCAUACCUUGUAUGGCUACAUGAUUCGCCAGAAUCCUCCGAUGGAUUGCAAGAGUGGCCGGUGCGGAACAGACUUUGCAACUUUGGCCAGCACAUUGGAGUCCCUUCACUUGACAUCUCUUAUGGAUUAUGUAAGUGAAAAUGCUCUUGGUUAAGGCCGGCAUAAAAUUCUCUCUUAAACAUAAUGCCCGUGCGUUGCCACGGGCCAAUAAUAGCUCUCCUCCCAGUGUGUCCAGCAGCUUGCCAUGCUAUUGUCAUCUGCUUUCAAUUCCACUGGCAUGUCAGCCCAGCAGAAGCAGCCACUUGCCGUUUACGAACGGUCGUUCAAUCUUACCAUGUCAGAGGGAUGCAAACAGCAAAGGGAUCAUAAAAGAAUCUCCAGAAAGGUCAAGGCUGCACUAAGCAAAUAUGAGAUGCAGAAUUCGGGGCACGCCUGUUAUCAGCUUCAUGUGAUCUGCGGUGUGAUAGUAUCUGUAUCUGGUCGUGACUGGAAGCGAAAAACUCGAUUGAUGAUGACUACUACCAUCACAUACAUGCCAACUUUCUGGUGAUGCGGGAUGUUGGCUCUGUAGGUUCAGUUCCAGUACUCUUCUUUGCUGAACUUAGCAAUGACGAUGAUGGCGACAAGGAUAGCCAGCUUUUAUGUUGCCCUGUGGAUUUUCCAACACCAGGGGCUGAGGCAGUGCGCUGCCUUUUCUGCAAGCUAGAAGGGAUCAAGAUUGCACAUGAUGGAGACCACGGUCUGGAGGGAUCCACGACUGCGACAAUAAAAACGGCACCCAAGUCGCCCACCCGUGCCCACUCCCAGCCUUUCCUCUGGACGCAACACACAGGAUCGGUGGAGCACCACCGAGCGUAGCACCGACUACGACCUCCAUUUUUCUUUGUGGGCUAGAGAAAAUAUUCUGCCAGAGCUCUCCUAGCGCGUGCACUUUCUUCCGUGGCCAGCAGCAGCGACAAAAAAUCUGGGCACUUAGGAUUUCAGGACUGACAUAGAGGAAAUGAUUAGUACUUUGAGCCGAUCGUGGACCUGUGGUAGUUGAUAUGCUUGAUUGUUCUACUCUAGAUAGUUAUAUGCUUUACUGCAGUUUUAAUAUCUGGUGAGUUGAGAAAAAAAAAUUAGUCUUCCUUUAUAUAGGUAUGUUGCCUUGCUGAGGCUGCUUUGCCUUUGCUAUAUUUGCUGCUCUUGGCUAUACUAUUGUUCUGUAUAUAUAGAGAUCGGAGAAGAGAGCAGCAGCCUAUUACUACUGAUUUUGUUCAAGCUGCUACUUGCUUACUGUUACACAUCUACACAUGCAAGGCUGCUGAUUGCUGACUGCAAUCCAUUCAUGAUAUGUAGAUAUGUAUGCUUCUGCUAGGUACUUGUGAACAGGGAGACAACGAAUGGACGCUUCAGUGCUAGCCGGUCGGUGGCCACGCAUUGGCAGCCACUGCUUGGAUACAUAACUCCAGCCAGCUAUGGUGAGCAGACUUUGAUCUUGGUAUGUUAGUCCGAGUGGAUAAACAUUACUAGAUGUUCAAUGUGAUGUGACUGUAUUGGUUGGACGUCGAUUAGGAUAUAAGUAGGACAUAGCCACAUAUGAUUUUUUUUCCAGUUGCCAUAUGAUGGAAAUCAGUAGCUUGAUUUGCUCAACAAACGUUCAUGGUAUGUGUGUGUGCUUGAUAAAAUGCCCGUCCGAGCAAACAAUUUGUUGUGUGCUACCUAAGAUAUGCAAGUUGGAUGUGGAGGAGAAUCAUGUACAACCCUUAGGUUCUAUGGUUAAUCUGUUUAACCUAAGAGGUGGUCAUCAAGUUUGAGAUGGCAAGUGUAGGUGCUAUAUACUGUUUUCCAUGAACCAAUAAAAUGCAUUGCCUAUUUUUCUACUCAGAUUUGUUUGUUAUUUCUGAUGGAACAUGAAAAUACUUCUGAAAGGAUUAUAAUUUCUACCUGAGAUUUCAGUGUUUUUGUAGACAGUAAAACUCCAGCUGUUAUUUUGCUAUAUCUGUUUAGGAAGGUUGAGCACAAAGUAAGAAAAUACUACUUUCAUCAUAAAAACAGUUGCUUAAAAUAUUAGUCUAUCAUGAUCUAAAAAAGGUGUAUCAUUUGUGAUAUAUGUACUGUUUUUAAAUUGUCACAAAGUAUAUGCACACACUAUUCAUUCAUCCAUCUAGAUCUAAUGUAUCUUUUCAUGUCCCUGCAAAAGAGCUUAUCACUAUGUGUGUUCUGGUUAUAUAUCAACAAGAAUAGCAGAGGAAUCGAUGGCAAAAAUAAGGAACAAUAUUCUUAUUUCCAAGAAAGGCAUUUAGUUGAUUCAUGUCAGUUCUUGGAACUAAAGCAUCAUACAAUGAUAGGUAACAGUAAGAUACUUGACACAUCUGAAGCUGAAAGUGUUCACUUAUAUUUUGUAAACUUUUUCAGUGUAUUUAUAUUCUAUAAGAGCGUCAAAGUCGUGUUUUGUUUUUUUGGAUACAGCAAUGAUGUUUUGAUCAUUGCUUUAGUAAAACAUACAUAUGAAGUAUGAUAGUGAAGCUAAAUGCAUGCCCAAUGGUCAAUUCAAGACUUCAAGGUUAAUUUGUUUUGUGUGUGUUGCUUAAAAUGUUAAAGCUGGCCUACAUCAAUUUUUGCAGGUGGGCUGGUGCUCUCAGCAUAAUACUUUUUGUGCAGUUGUGUUACAACAUAUUUUCAUUGAGAUGUUAUCCAGUAUUUUUCAGCUCCUAAAGGUUGUGCACUUGUGCCAUAAUUUUUUUGCGUGAAACUAUAACAAAAUUGUGUAAGGUGAAAUUUUGGUAGUUGCGUAAGCUAACCAUUUUAGUCUUUUCUUUCUUAAGAUCACAUUAUAGCACUUGCAUAAGCUGAACCAAGAUGCUUUCUUGCUACUGCUGUAGUAUGUAAUGAAAUUCUGAGAUAAUAAUGUAGUUAAGCAACUUUCUAUAACUGACUCUGUAGGUCUUAGUAGUGCAGAUUCCUUUUGGACUGCAAGGAGUUUACUGAGAUACAAAUCAUUGUGUGCAGGAUAAUCAUAUGAAUAUUCCUGCUUAGUUGUAGAUAUGUAGGUUUAGUAGCUUCUCGGGUUCCCAUCUAAUCCUAACAUGCAGUUGUUUGUAUUUUUUUUCGCCUUUACCAUUGUUUUUUGGAAUAGUCUAUCAGUCAUGUCUGAACCUAGCGUUCCUUAACAGAUAGGCUCCUCAUUUCAAAAGGAUUAAAUGAGUCUAGAUAUUGAUAGUUUUGUAAUAGAU